GACGAACGCUGGCGGCGUGCUUAACACAUGCAAGUGGAGCGACGAACCGACCUUCGGGUCGGGGCAGAGCCGCGAACGGGUGAGUAACACGUGGGUAACCUACCCCGAUGACCGGGACAACCCGAGGAAACUCGGGCUAAUACCGGAUGAGCUCUUACUCUCUGAGGAGUAUGAGGAAAGAUAGCUUCGGCCUUCGCAUCGGGACGGGCCAGCGGCCCAUUAGCUUGUUGGUGGGGUAAUGGCCUACCAAGGCUUCGACGGGUAGCUGGUCUGAGAGUACGAUCAGCCACACUGGGACUGAGACACGGCCCAGACUCCUACGGGAGUCAGCAGUGGGGAAUCUUGCACAAUGCGCGAAAGCGUGAUGCAGCAACGCCGCGUGGGGGAAGAAGGCCUUCGGGUUGUAAACCCCUUUCAGUUGGGACGAAGCUUCGCCGGUUAAUAGCCGGCUGGAGUGACGGUACCUUCACAAGAAGCCCCGGCUAACUACGUGCCAGCAGCCGCGGUAACAC
rnacentral:rRNA from 1 species